rnacentral:rRNA from 1 species
UGGGGAAUAUUGGACAAUGGGCGAAAGCCUGAUCCAGCCAUGCCGCGUGUGUGAAGAAGGUCUUCGGAUUGUAAAGCACUUUAAGUUGGGAGGAAGGGCAGUAAGCGAAUACCUUGCUGUUUUGACGUUACCGACAGAAUAAGCACCGGCUAACUCUGUGCCAGCAGCCGCGGUAAUACAGAGGGUGCAAGCGUUAAUCGGAAUUACUGGGCGUAAAGCGCGCGUAGGUGGUUCGUUAAGUUGAAUGUGAAAGCCCCGGGCUCAACCUGGGAACUGCAUCCAAAACUGGCGAGCUAGGGUAGGGCAGAGGGUGGUGGAAUUUCCUGUGUAGCGGUGAAAUGCGUAGAUAUAGGAAGGAACACCAGUGGCGAAGGCGACCACCUGGGCUCAUACUGAAACUGAGGUGCGAAAGCGUGGGGAGCAAACAGG